AAGGGUAGCAAUACCUGAGUACAGUGGCGCACGGGUGAGUAACACGUGAAUUAUCUACCUCCGAGUGGGGAAUAACUGAGAGAAAUCUUAGCUAAUACCGCAUAACACUUACGAGUCAAAGCAGCAAUGCGCUUGGAGAGGAGUUCGCGGCCGAUUAGUUAGUUGGCGGGGUAAUGGCCCACCAAGACGAUGAUCGGUAUCCGGCCUGAGAGGGCGCACGGACACACUGGAACUGAAACACGGUCCAGACUCCUACGGGAGGCAGCAGUGGGGAAUUUUGCGCAAUGGGGGAAACCCUGACGCAGCAACGCCGCGUGGAGGAUGAAAUAUCUUGGUAUGUAAACUCCUUUCGAUGGGGAAGAUUAUGACGGUACCCAUAGAAGAAGCCCCGGCUAACUUCGUGCCAGCAGCCGCGGUAAUACGAGGGGGGCAAGCGUUGUUCGGAUUUAUUGGGCGUAAAGGGUGCGUAGGCGGUUUGGCAAGUCUGAUGUGAAAUCUAUGGGCUCAACCCAUAGUCUGCAUCAGAAACUGCCGGGCUUGAGUAUGGGAGAGGUGAGUGGAAUUUCCGGUGUAGCGGUGAAAUGCGUAGAUAUCGGAAGGAACACCUGUGGCGAAAGCGGCUCACUGGACCAUAACUGACGCUGAUGCACGAAAGCUAGGGGAGCAAACAGGAUUAGAUACCCUGGUAGUCCUAGCCCUAAACGAUGAUUG
rnacentral:rRNA from 1 species